rnacentral:rRNA from 1 species
AGUGAACGCUGGCGGUAGGCCUAACACAUGCAAGUCGAACGGCAGCACAGUAAGAGCUUGCUCUUACGGGUGGCGAGUGGCGUACGGGUGCGGAAUACAUCGGAAUCUACUUUUUCGUGGGGGAUAACGUAGGGAAACUUACGCUCAUACCGCAUACGACCUUCGGUUUAAAGCAGGGGAUCUUCGGACCUUGCGCGAUUGAAUGAGCCGAUGUCGUAUUAGCUAGUUGGCGGGGUACAGGCCCACCAAGGCGACGAUCCGUUGCUGGUCUCAGAGGAUGAUCACCCACACUGGAACUGAGACACGGUCCAGACUCCUACGGGAGGCAGCAGUGGGGAAUAUUCGACAAUGGGCGCAACCCUGAUCCAGCCAUACCGCGUCGGUGAAGAAGGCCUUCCGGUUGUAAAGCCCUUUUGUUGGGAAAGAAAAGCAGCAGGUUAAUACCCCGCUGUUCUGACGGUACCCAAAGAAUAAGCACCGGCUAACUUCGUG